UGCAGUCGACGGUGACACGGAGCUUGCUCUGUGGGAUCAGUGGCGAACGGGUGAGUAACACGUGAGCAACCUGCCCCUGACUCUGGGAUAAGCGCUGGAAACGGCGUCUAAUACUGGAUAUGUGACGUGACCGCAUGGUCUGCGUUUGGAAAGAUUUUUCGGUUGGGGAUGGGCUCGCGGCCUAUCAGCUUGUUGGUGAGGUAAUGGCUCACCAAGGCGUCGACGGGUAGCCGGCCUGAGAGGGUGACCGGCCACACUGGGACUGAGACACGGCCCAGACUCCUACGGGAGGCAGCAGUGGGGAAUAUUGCACAAUGGGCGAAAGCCUGAUGCAGCAACGCCGCGUGAGGGAUGACGGCCUUCGGGUUGUAAACCUCUUUUAGCAGGGAAGAAGCGAAAGUGACGGUACCUGCAGAAAAAGCGCCGGCUAACUACGUGCCAGCAGCCGCGGUAAUACGUAGGGCGCAAGCGUUAUCCGGAAUUAUUGGGCGUAAAGAGCUCGUAGGCGGUUUGUCGCGUCUGCUGUGAAAUCCCGAGGCUCAACCUCGGGCCUGCAGUGGGUACGGGCAGACUAGAGUGCGGUAGGGGAGAUUGGAAUUCCUGGUGUAGCGGUGGAAUGCGCAGAUAUCAGGAGGAACACCGAUGGCGAAGGCAGAUCUCUGG
rnacentral:rRNA from 1 species